AUUGAACGCUGGCGGAAGGCCUAACACAUGCAAGUCGAGCGAGCGGCGGACGUGUGAGUAAUGUCUGGGAAACUGCGUGAUGGAGGGGGAUAAAUACUGGAAACGGUAGAUAAUACCGCAUACCAUCAGAUGUGCCCAGAUGGGAUUAGCUAGUAGGUGGGGUAACGGCUCACCUAGGCGACGAUCCCUAGCUGGUCUGAGAGGAUGACCAUCCACACUGGAACUGAGACACGGUCCAGACUCCUACGGGAGGAAGCAGUGGGGAAUAUUGCACAAUGGGCGCAAGCCUGAUGCAGCCAUGCCGCGUGUAUGAAGAAGGCCUUCGGGUUGUAAAGCACUUUCAGCGUGGAGGCGUUACCCGCAGAAGAAGCACCGGCUAACUCCGGGCCAGCAGCCGCGGUAAUUC
rnacentral:rRNA from 1 species